rnacentral:lncRNA from 1 species
GGAGGAUUUCCUCAGAGCUUUUGGGAAGCUAUACGUUCCUGGCCCCGAGGUAAAGCUCCCACAGGCUGCUUGACCCAACAGAGCAGCUCCUACCCACUGGGAUUCUCGGUCUGCAGGAAUCUGGCAUCCACCUGGGAAUCUCAGCCUCUCCCCUAAACCAGAACAGACUCACAGAGUGACCCAGUGGAAGGGGCCUCAGAAGACAUCCAGUUGAGUCUCUUCCGUCACUGAACAGAUGAGGAAACUGAGGCUCAAAGGGAAACGUCCCCAUGGCAGGGAGCAUCUGGCUGAGGCAGCCUGGAGACAGGCACGCACCAGAAGACUUCUGGUUCCAUCCAGGCCCAAGGACCACUGAACUGGAGCGGUCUUCUCCAUCCCCCAGCAAGCCUGUGCGUGAGCUGGGGACAAGGGGCAGAGGAGGCAGAGGUCCCCCUCACACCAGGAAGGGAACAGCGCCACUAAAGGGCCUGGUGGAGGCAGGGUGGAGGUGGAAGGAGACUCAGCAGAAGGGGUGAGUUCUCCAUGUUUACGGAACUGAACACUCCCCAGGCCUCCCACUGCCUCCCACUCCCCAGCCCCCCUCAUCACCCGGAUCUGAAGGAUCAUGUCCACCUAAAUCGAGUUCAGCCUCCACCCUGCCACUCCGCCCCCCAGAGCCUCCUGGACCCUAAUGCCCAGGCCCCCGACACACAUACGGCACUCCCAAGUGAGGUGUGACCAAUGGCGGGAGGUGGUAUCACCCAGUGACAUCAUUUGAGGCCCAAAGAGCUUGCAUACAGGGAGAGGAGGGUCUGAGGGUCCAGGGAAGGAUGUCAUUGGCUCUGAAGCUCCUCUCAAAGAGAAGAAGGGGGAGUGUAGGGGAGGUCCUUCCCCUGUUUUCUCUGCCCAAUCCUUAGCAACCCAAACAGAGGGCCCGAGUACCCUCCCCCUUAGCCCCAGGCCCUAGUGGUUGUAUAAUUCCACAGGCUAUUGAUGUUACAUAAGCCUACUAGGCCAGCCGAGUCUCUGCCCCAGCCCCUCCCCUACAAUUCAGGCCUAAAACUGGAGAAGAGAUGCUUCAUCCGGACCCAUCCAUGCCUGGCCAAAACCAAAACAACAAUUAGAGCAUCUUGAUGCAGAGUUGUCAUAGCAAGCCCCAAGCACAGGGAUGGAGCCAAGACGCCCAGAUGUGGAACAAUGGCAGGGAGUAGGGUGGGGGUUGUUUCCGUGGAGGGUGGGAAAGAUGAGCAUAAAGUGGUUGGGUUUGGGACUGGAGGGUUGGGCCAGAGGGGGUUGCCCGAUAGGCACUGCCCCUCAGGGCUCACCCUGGCACACACAUACCCAUGCACACACAUACAGUCACACCAGACGCCCGGGCUGACUCCUCACGGGGGGCCUGGGUAUCUGUGAGGAGCCUUGUAAUGCUGUAAUGCCAAAGCAGGGGUGGCAGGGUGACAGGGGAGGAGAGGCGCGCCUGCGGGCAGGAAGAGGCCUCGGUCCAUUCCUUGACACCGGCCUUUCGGUCCUCUGACUUCAGCAAGGACCACGGAGGACCUUCAAACUAGGGCCAGGGGAGGAUGCUUUCGUGGUCCAGAGGGCUUGCUGAGGAUGACAGGGAGCCGGGAGCCGGA